UCCCUGGUGGCUUAGUUGGUAAAAGAAUCUGCCUGCAAUGCAGGAAACCGGGGUUCAAUCCCUGGGUUGGGAA
rnacentral:tRNA from 1 species